rnacentral:rRNA from 1 species
GGGACACGUGGUAUCCUGUCUGAAUAUGGGGGGACCAUCCUCCAAGGCUAAAUACUCCUGACUGACCGAUAGUGAACCAGUACCGUGAGGGAAAGGCGAAAAGAACCCCGGCGAGGGGAGUGAAAAAGAACCUGAAACCGUGUACGUACAAGCAGUGGGAGCCUCUUAAUGGGGUGACUGCGUACCUUUUGUAUAAUGGGUCAGCGACUUAUAUUCUGUAGCAAGGUUAACCGAAUAGGGGAGCCGAAGGGAAACCGAGUCUUAACUGGGCGUUAAGUUGCAGGGUAUAGACCCGAAACCCGGUGAUCUAGCCAUGGGCAGGUUGAAGGUUGGGUAACACUAACUGGAGGACCGAACCGACUAAUGUUGAAAAAUUAGCGGAUGACUUGUGGCUGGGGGUGAAAGGCCAAUCAAACCGGGAGAUAGCUGGUUCUCCCCGAAAGCUAUUUAGGUAGCGCCUCGUGAAUUCAUCUCCGGGGGUAGAGCACUGUUUCGGCAAGGGGGUCAUCCCGACUUACCAACCCGAUGCAAACUGCGAAUACCGGAGAAUGUUAUCACGGGAGACACACGGCGGGUGCUAACGUCCGUCGUGAAGAGGGAAACAACCCAGACCGCCAGCUAAGGUCCCAAAGUCAUGGUUAAGUGGGAAACGAUGUGGGAAGGCCCAGACAGCCAGGAUGUUGGCUUAGAAGCAGCCAUCAUUUAAAGAAAGCGUAAUAGCUCACUGGUCGAGUCGGCCUGCGCGGAAGAUGUAACGGGGCUAAACCAUGCACCGAAGCUGCGGCAGCGACACUAUGUGUUGUUGGGUAGGGGAGCGUUCUGUAAGCCUGUGAAGGUGUACUGUGAGGUAUGCUGGAGGUAUCAGAAGUGCGAAUGCUGACAUAAGUAACGAUAAAGCGGGUGAAAAGCCCGCUCGCCGGAAGACCAAGGGUUCCUGUCCAACGUUAAUCGGGGCAGGGUGAGUCGACCCCUAAGGCGAGGCCGAAAGGCGUAGUCGAUGGGAAACAGGUUAAUAUUCCUGUACUUGGUGUUACUGCGAAGGGGGGACGGAGAAGGCUAUGUUGGCCGGGCGACGGUUGUCCCGGUUUAAGCGUGUAGGCUGGUUUUCCAGGCAAAUCCGGAAAAUCAAGGCUGAGGCGUGAUGACGAGGCACUACGGUGCUGAAGCGACAAAUGCCCUGCUUCCAGGAAAAGCCUCUAAGCAUCAGGUAACAUCAAAUCGUACCCCAAACCGACACAGGUGGUCAGGUAGAGAAUACCAAGGCGCUUGAGAGAACUCGGGUGAAGGAACUAGGCAAAAUGGUGCCGUAACUUCGGGAGAAGGCACGCUGAUAUGUAGGUGAAGCGACUUGCUCGUGGAGCUGAAAUCAGUCGAAGAUACCAGCUGGCUGCAACUGUUUAUUAAAAACACAGCACUGUGCAAACACGAAAGUGGACGUAUACGGUGUGACGCCUGCCCGGUGCCGGAAGGUUAAUUGAUGGGGUUAGCGGUAACGCGAAGCUCUUGAUCGAAGCCCCGGUAAACGGCGGCCGUAACUAUAACGGUCCUAAGGUAGCGAAAUUCCUUGUCGGGUAAGUUCCGACCUGCACGAAUGGCGUAAUGAUGGCCAGGCUGUCUCCACCCGAGACUCAGUGAAAUUGAACUCGCUGUGAAGAUGCAGUGUACCCGCGGCAAGACGGAAAGACCCCGUGAACCUUUACUAUAGCUUGACACUGAACAUUGAGCCUUGAUGUGUAGGAUAGGUGGGAGGCUUUGAAGUGUGGACGCCAGUCUGCAUGGAGCCGACCUUGAAAUACCACCCUUUAAUGUUUGAUGUUCUAACGUGGGCCCCUUACCGGGGUUGCGGACAGUGUCUGGUGGGUAGUUUGACUGGGGCGGUCUCCUCCUAAAGAGUAACGGAGGAGCACGAAGGUUGGCUAAUCCUGGUCGGACAUCAGGAGGUUAGUGCAAUG